AUUGAACGCUGGCGGCAGGCCUAACACAUGCAAGUCGAACGGUAACAGGAAGAAGCUUGCUUCUUUGCUGACGAGUGGCGGACGGGUGAGUAAUGUCUGGGAAACUGCCUGAUGGAGGGGGAUAACUACUGGAAACGUUAGCUCAUACCGCAUAACGUCGCAAGACCAAAAAGGGGGACCUUCGGGCCUCUUGCCAUCGGAUGUGCCCAGAUGGGAUUAGCUAGUAGGUGGGGUAACGGCUCACCUAGGCGACGAUCCCUAGCUGGUCUGAGAGGAUGACCAGCCACACUGGAACUGAGACACGGUCCAGACUCCUACGGGAGGCAGCAGUGGGGAAUAUUGCACAAUGGGCGCAAGCCUGAUGCAGCCAUGCCGCGUGUAUGAAGAAGGCCUUCGGGUUGUAAAGUACUUUCAGCGGUGAGGAAGGGAGUAAAGUUAAUACCUUUGCUCAUUGACGUUACCCGCAGAAGAAGCACCGGCUAACUCCGUG
rnacentral:rRNA from 1 species